rnacentral:tRNA from 1 species
UGUGGUGUAGCUUAAUUGGAACAGAGCGCCCCCUGAAGGGGGAGUUGAGCUCUACCCAAGGAUCAUAACCUGGGGGUAUCUCAUGCGGUCCGGCCGGACGUUAUCUGGGUUCGAGUCCCAGCGCUGCAA